rnacentral:rRNA from 1 species
UAGGGAAUCUUCGGCAAUGGACGAAAGUCUGACCGAGCAACGCCGCGCGUGUGAAGAAGGUUUUCGGAUCGUAAAACUCUGUUGUUAGAGAAGAACAAGGACGUUAGUAACUGAACGUCCCCUGACGGUAUCUAACCAGAAAGCCACGGCUAACUACGUGCCAGCAGCCGCGGUAAUACGUAGGUGGCAAGCGUUGUCCGGAUUUAUUGGGCGUAAAGCGAGCGCGGGCGGUUUCUUAAGUCUGAUGUGAAAGCCCCCGGCUCAACCGGGGAGGGUCAUUGGAAACUGGGAGACUUGAGUGCAGAAGAGGAGAGUGGAAUUCCAUGUGUAGCGGUGAAAUGCGUAGAUAUAUGGAGGAACACCAGUGGCGAAGGAGGCUCUCUGGUCUGUAACUGACGCUGAGGCUCGAAAGCGUGGGGAGCAAACAGG